rnacentral:rRNA from 1 species
UGCAAGUCGAGCGGUAAGGCCUUUCGGGGUACACGAGCGGCGAACGGGUGAGUAACACGUGGGUGAUCUGCCCUGCACUUCGGGAUAAGCCUGGGAAACUGGGUCUAAUACCGGAUAUGACCUCCUAUCGCAUGGUGGGUGGUGGAAAGAUUUAUCGGUGCAGGAUGGGCCCGCGGCCUAUCAGCUUGUUGGUGGGGUAAUGGCCUACCAAGGCGACGACGGGUAGCCGACCUGAGAGGGUGACCGGCCACACUGGGACUGAGACACGGCCCAGACUCCUACGGGAGGCAGCAGUGGGGAAUAUUGCACAAUGGGCGAAAGCCUGAUGCAGCGACGCCGCGUGAGGGAUGACGGCCUUCGGGUUGUAAACCUCUUUCAGCAGGGACGAAGCGCAAGUGACGGUACCUGCAGAAGAAGCACCGGCUAACUACGUGCCAGCAGCCGCGGUAAUACGUAGGGUGCAAGCGUUGUCCGGAAUUACUGGGCGUAAAGAGUUCGUAGGCGGUUUGUCGCGUCGUUUGUGAAAACCAGCAGCUCAACUGCUGGCUUGCAGGCGAUACGGGCAGACUUGAGUACUGCAGGGGAGACUGGAAUUCCUGGUGUAGCGGUGAAAUGCGCAGAUAUCAGGAGGAACACCGGUGGCGAAGGCGGGUCUCUGGGCAGUAACUGACGCUGAGGAACGAAAGCGUGGGUAGCGAACAGGAUUAGAUACCCUGGUAGUCCACGCCGUAAACGGUGGGCGCUAGGUGUGGGUUCCUUCCACGGAAUCCGUGCCGUAGCUAACGCAUUAAGCGCCCCGCCUGGGGAGUACGGCCGCAAGG